CGGCGUUUGCCAUGAAUUCAUACUUCCAAAAAGGGGGCCGCAACAACUUCAACUGUGACUUUGCUGGUACUGGUUUGGCUGCCUCCGCUGAUCCAAGUUAUGGCACAUGCAAAUACGAAUCUUGAAUGUACGUGCAGCUGAGGAAGACUUUCAACUACUCCUACAUUUGAAGGAUUAGCAUUGACAUAUAAUCUUUAUUAUUGUGUACUUUGGUUUGGUAAAUUAAUCUAAUUGAAUUGGUAUGUAA